GAGAACUCAGCAGUGAGGGUUCGGCUCCUCUGGGACACUCUGACCCCUGACACAGACCAGUGGCCCCCCCUCUACAUCCUCUGGAGGAUCCACAGUGGCAUCCCGAUGAGGAGCUACAGCUGGCGGAGACACAACCACCCGUUCACGCUGUCCUUCCUGGAGGAGGUGCUGCGCUGGGUCGGCAUGAACGAGGUGCACAAAGCCAUCACCCUCUUCCUGGACACGCUGGCCAAACAGCCGGGCUCCGCCUGGACGCAGAGGAGUUUGUACAGAGAGUUCCUCUUCCUCACUCUGGCAGCUAUGGGCAAAGACCACGUCGGUAAGAUUCUC